CGGCGUGUAGCUCAGCGGUGAGAGCAGACCUCUUAUAAGGGUCAGGUCGAGGGUUCGACUCCUUCCGCGCCGA
rnacentral:tRNA from 1 species